rnacentral:rRNA from 1 species
GAUCAUGGCUCAGGAUGAACGCUAGCUACAGGUCUUAACACAUGCAAGUCGGAGGGGCAGCAUGGUCUUAGCUUGCUAAGGCCGAUGGCGACCGGCGCACGGGUGAGUAACACGUAUCCAACCUGCCGUCUACUCUUGGACAGCCUUCUGAAAGGAAGAUUAAUACAAGAUGGCAUCAUGAGUUCCACAUGUUCACAUGAUUAAAGGUAUUCCGGUAGACGAGUGGGGA